rnacentral:lncRNA from 1 species
GGAGCCUGGGGAGAAAGAAUUCUUUCUAGUCAUCUGCCUUGAAAGCAGUAAUCUUUGAUCAAGAAACACAACUAGCCAUAGGCUACCCGGCAGAAAGAAAGCCUUGGGAAUUAUUACUCACUCUCCUGCCUUCCUCCAUCAUCUGCCAGAGCUCCCAACGAAGUGCAAAGUUGGACUCCGUUCAGUCCCACAGAGACCAAACCCAACUGCAAGCCAGAAAGCAUGGGAAUGGGGAUGAAUCCAGUGGAUGUGUGUUGACAGGUGUCUCAAAAGAGGUAAAACUCUAACCUCUUG